CUCCAGACUCCUACGGGAGGCAGCAGUGAGGAAUAUUGGUCAAUGGGCGCUAGCCUGAACCAGCCAAGUAGCGUGAAGGAUGACUGCCCUAUGGGUUGUAAACUUCUUUUAUAUGGGAAUAAAGUGCAGUAUGUAUACUGCUUUGCAUGUACCUUAUGAAUAAGCAUCGGCUAACUCCGUGCCAGCAGCCGCGGUAAUACGGAGGAUGCGAGCGUUAUCCGGAUUUAUUGGGUUUAAAGGGUGCGUAGGCGGUUUUUUAAGUUAGUGGUAAAACGUCGGGGCUUCACCUUGAUUUGCCAUUAAUACUGUAAGACUCGAGUUCAGACGAGGUAGGCGGAAUAAGUUAAGUAGCGGUGAAAUGCUUAGAUAUAACUUAGAACUCCGAUAGCGAAGGCAGCUUACCAGACUGCGACUGACGCUGAAGCACGAGAGCGUGGGUAGCGAACAGGAUUAGAUACCCCAGUA
rnacentral:rRNA from 1 species